rnacentral:rRNA from 1 species
UUUAGAGUUUGAUCCUGGCUCAGAUUGAACGCUGGCGGCAUGCUUUACACAUGCAAGUCGAACGGCAGCGGGGGCUUCGGCCUGCCGGCGAGUGGCGAACGGGUGAGUAAUGCAUCGGAACGUACCCAGUCGUGGGGGAUAACUACGCGAAAGCGUGGCUAAUACCGCAUACGCCCUGAGGGGGAAAGCGGGGGACCUUCGGGCCUCGCGCGAUUGGAGCGGCUGAUGUCGGAUUAGCUGGUUGGUGGGGUAAAGGCCUACCAAGGCGACGAUCCGUAGCGGGUCUGAGAGGAUGAUCCGCCACACUGGGACUGAGACACGGCCCAGACUCCUACGGGAGGCAGCAGUGGGGAAUUUUGGACAAUGGGGGCAACCCUGAUCCAGCCAUGCCGCGUGAGUGAAGAAGGCCUUCGGGUUGUAAAGCUCUUUCAGACGGAAAGAAAUCGCCAUUUUGAAUACGGAUGGUGGAUGACGGUACUGUCAGAAGAAGCACCGGCUAACUACGUGCCAGCAGCCGCGGUAAUUCAA